UACGUAGGGAGCAAGCGUUGUCCGGAAUCAUUGGGCGUAAAGCGCGCGUAGGUGGCCUCAUAAGUCCGCUGUGAAAGUCAAAGGCUCAACCUUUGAAAGCCGGUGGAUACUGUGGGGCUGGAGUACGGAAGAGGCGAGUGGAAUUCCUGGUGUAGCGGUGGAACGCGCAGAUAUCAGGAGGAACACCAAUAGCGAAGGCAGCUCGCUGGGACGUUACUGACACUGAGGCGCGAAAGCGUGGGGAGCGAACAGG
rnacentral:rRNA from 1 species